rnacentral:rRNA from 1 species
UACGGAGGGUGCAAGCGUUGUUCGGAAUUACUGGGCGUAAAGCGCGUGUAGGCGGUCGCUUAAGUCUGAUGUGAAAGCCCGGGGCUCACCCCCGGAAGAGCAUUGGAAACUGGGCGACUAGAGUGUCGGAGAGGAGGGUGGAAUUCCUGGUGUAGCGGUGAAAUGCGUAGAUAUCAGGAGGAACACCGGUGGCGAAGGCGGCUACCUGGACCGGUUCUGACGCUGAUGCGCGAAAGCGUGGGUAGCAAACAGG